GAUGAACGCUGGCGGCGUGCCUAAUACAUGCAAGUCGAGCGAACGGACGAGAAGCUUGCUUCUCUGAUGUUAGCGGCGGACGGGUGAGUAACACGUGGAUAACCUACCUAUAAGACUGGGAUAACUUCGGGAAACCGGAGCUAAUACCGGAUAAUAUUUUGAACCGCAUGGUUCAAAAGUGAAAGACGGUCUUGCUGUCACUUAUAGAUGGAUCCGCGCUGCAUUAGCUAGUUGGUAAGGUAACGGCUUACCAAGGCAACGAUGCAUAGCCGACCUGAGAGGGUGAUCGGCCACAUUGGAACUGAGACACGGUCCAGACUCCUACGGGAGGCAGCAGUAGGGAAUCUUCCGCAAUGGGCGAAAGCCUGACGGAGCAACGCCGCGUGAGUGAUGAAGGUCUUCGGAUCGUAAAACUCUGUUAUUAGGGAAGAACAUAUGUGUAAGUAACUGUGCACAUCUUGACGGUACCUAAUCAGAAAGCCACGGCUAACUACGUGCCAGCAGCCGCGGUAAUACGUAGGUGGCAAGCGUUAUCCGGAAUUAUUGGGCGUAAAGCGCGCGUAGGCGGUUUUUUAAGUCUGAUGUGAAAGCCCACGGCUCAACCGUGGAGGGUCAUUGGAAACUGGAAAACUUGAGUGCAGAAGAGGAAAGUGGAAUCCCAUGUGUAGCGGUGAAAUGCGCAGAGAUAUGGAGGAACACCAGUGGCGAAGGCGACUUUCUGGUCUGUAACUGACGCUGAUGUGCGAAAGCGUGGGGAUCAAACAGGAUUAGAUACCCUGGUAGUCCACGCCGUAAACGAUGAGUGCUAAGUGUUAGGGGGUUUCCGCCCCUUAGUGCUGCAGCUAACGCAUUAAGCACUCCGCCUGGGGAGUACGACCGCAAGGUUGAAACUCAAAGGAAUUGACGGGGACCCGCACAAGCGGUGGAGCAUGUGGUUUAAUUCGAAGCAACGCGAAGAACCUUACCAAAUCUUGACAUCCUUUGACAACUCUAGAGAUAGAGCCUUCCCCUUCGGGGGACAAAGUGACAGGUGGUGCAUGGUUGUCGUCAGCUCGUGUCGUGAGAUGUUGGGUUAAGUCCCGCAACGAGCGCAACCCUUAAGCUUAGUUGCCAUCAUUAAGUUGGGCACUCUAAGUUGACUGCCGGUGACAAACUGGAGGAAGGUGGGGAUGACGUCAAAUCAUCAUGCCCCUUAUGAUUUGGGCUACACACGUGCUACAAUGGACAAUACAAAGGGCAGCGAAACCGCGAGGUCAAGCAAAUCCCAUAAAGUUGUUCUCAGUUCGGAUUGUAGUCUGCAACUCGACUACAUGAAGCUGGAAUCGCUAGUAAUCGUAGAUCAGCAUGCUACGGUGAAUACGUUCCCGGGUCU
rnacentral:rRNA from 1 species